AACGAACGCUGGCGGCAUGCCUAACACAUGCAAGUCGAACGAUUGCCUUCGGGUGAUAGUGGCGCACGGGUGCGUAAUGCGUGGGAAUCUGCCCUUAGGUUCGGAAUAACAGCUGGAAACGGCUGCUAAUACCGGAUGAUAUCGCGAGAUCAAAGAUUUAUCGCCUGAGGAUGAGCCCGCGUUGGAUUAGGUAGUUGGUGGGGUAAAGGCCUACCAAGCCGACGAUCCAUAGCUGGUCUGAGAGGAUGAUCAGCCACACUGGGACUGAGACACGGCCCAGACUCCUACGGGAGGCAGCAGUGGGGAAUAUUGGACAAUGGGCGCAAGCCUGAUCCAGCAAUGCCGCGUGAGUGAUGAAGGCCCUAGGGUUGUAAAGCUCUUUUACCCGGGAAGAUAAUGACUGUACCGGGAGAAUAAGCCCCGGCUAACUCCGUG
rnacentral:rRNA from 1 species